UGCAGUCGAACGGCAGCGCGGGAGCAUCCUGGCGGCGAGUGGCGAACGGGUGAGUAAUAUAUCGGAACGUGCCCAGUAGUGGGGGAUAGCCCGGCGAAAGCCGGAUUAAUACCGCAUGAGACCUGAGGGUGAAAGCGGGGGAUCGCAAGACCUCGCGCUAUUGGAGCGGCCGAUAUCAGAUUAGCUAGUUGGUGGGGUAAAGGCCCACCAAGGCAACGAUCUGUAGUUGGUCUGAGAGGACGACCAGCCACACUGGGACUGAGACACGGCCCAGACUCCUACGGGAGGCAGCAGUGGGGAAUUUUGGACAAUGGGCGCAAGCCUGAUCCAGCAAUGCCGCGUGCAGGAAGAAGGCCUUCGGGUUGUAAACUGCUUUUGUCAGGGAAGAAAUCCUCUGGGUUAAUACCUCGGGGGGAUGACGGUACCUGAAGAAUAAGCACCGGCUAACUACGUGCCAGCAGCCGCGGUAAUACGUAGGGUGCGAGCGUUAAUCGGAAUUACUGGGCGUAAAGCGUGCGCAGGCGGCUUUACAAGACAGAUGUGAAAUCCCCGGGCUCAACCUGGGAACUGCAUUUGUGACUGCAAGGCUAGAGUACGGCAGA
rnacentral:rRNA from 1 species